UACAGAGAUCCCGAGCGUUGUUCGGAUUCAUUGGGCGUAAAGGGUGCGUAGGCGGCGGGGCAAGUCUGAUGUGAAAUCCCGGGGCUCAACCCCGGAACUGCAUUGGAUACUGCCUUGCUAGAGUACUGGAGAGGGAACUGGAAUUUACGGUGUAGCAGUGAAAUGCGUAGAGAUCGUAAGGAAGGCCAGUGGCGAAGGCGAGUUCCUGGACAGUUACUGACGCUGAGGCACGAAGGCCAGGGGAGCAAACGGG
rnacentral:rRNA from 1 species